UGGCCAAAAUAUUGGGAAAUACUAGAAAAGAUGGAGACAAUUGGAAAUUGCAGAGCUUGGAGAAAAUGAAAGACAAAGUGCGAGAUUGGUUACACUAUGCUCAGAUUAAAGAAGUUUUUAAAAGUGAUAAGAAACUAGGGUUCCAGGUGGAGAAAUCGAAAUUAGAAACAGAAUUGUUAGAACCAAAGACUAAGAUACUUUCAAGGAUGUAUAACUUGCUGUUGGAAUGGAAUACACAAGAUGAAAUGGUUAAAUCGGCUAUGAUAAGGUGGGCACAGGACAUUGGGUACAAUAUUAUGUUUGAGGACUGGGAAAGGCUGUGGAGUAAUGGAUUGAAAUUUACUGCAUGUAAUGCUUUGAAAGAAAAUGUAAUGAAAAUGAUUUAUAGAUGGUAUAUGACCCCAGUCAAACUCGCAAAAAUUUACCACCUGUCUGAUAACAAGUGCUGGAAAUGCAAAGAGUGUGAAGGAACGUUCUUUCACCUCUGGUGGACAUGCCCUAAAGUGAAGGCGUUCUGGGAAAUGAUUUACAAUGAAUUGAAAAAGGUAUUUAAAUAUACUUUCACUAAGAAACCAGAGGCUUUCCUUUUGGGUAUUGUCAGCCAAGGGGUGGCAAAGAAGGACCAGACAAUUUUUAUGUACGCAACAACAGCAGCAAGGAUACUACUUGCAAAACAUUGGAAAACCCAAGAUCUACCCACACUGGAAGAAUGGCAGAUGCAACUGAUAGACUAUAUGCAACUGGCUGAAAUGACUGGCAGAAUCCGUGACCUGGGAGAAGAGAGAAUCGAGGAGGAUUGGAAGAAAUUUAAGAACUACCUACAAAAACAUUGUGAUUUGAUUGAAUGCUGAAUAAGAUGCUGGACUAAAUAACUGAGCACCACUUAACUUAGAAAUUUUUAAGGAAACAAGAAAAAUUGUGAAAGCUUAACUCUUUAUGAGAACUUUAAGAUUAUGAAAUAUCGAAGAGAUUUAAGAAUUUAAAUAAGAUGAUAAAUUGCUGACAAAAUGUUAUAAUGAUGAAGGUGGGAGCGGGAGAUGUGAGGAAGUCCUAAGAAAAUGUGAAAAUAUGUUAAGACGAAUGCUAUAUUGUUUAUUACAUUUAUUCCUAUUGUAAAACCUAAUAAAUUGCUUU